ACAGUUCGAGAACUGAGACUAGAAGCAUGGCUUUCCGAUACUUGGUUUCGCUGUCUUUGGCGGUCGCUGUUCUGGCCUCCCACCACGCAAGCCCUUCAUACCACCAUCAACCUACCUACCACACUCAGCCUUC
rnacentral:misc_RNA from 1 species